GGAGAACUGUCUGGAGCCAGCGAGGCCGGAGGAGGAAGAGCAGGAGGAAGGAGGGGAAGCCGCCGCUGCCGCCGCCGCCGCGCUCCGGGGACCUGGGCGCGCGCGCUCCGCUCGCCCGUGACCGUGCCUCUAGCCCCAGGCCCACAUUCCUGCCCAGUGGAAGUGCCUUGGUGACCCGUGUCCUGCCCUCUGCCUGGACGCACCCUCUUCCUCUGGGCCCUGAGA
rnacentral:lncRNA from 1 species